rnacentral:rRNA from 1 species
CCUACGGGAGGCAGCAGUGAGGAAUAUUGGUCAAUGGCCGUAAGGCUGAACCAGCCAAGUCGCGUGAAGGAAGAAGGAUCUAUGGUUUGUAAACUUCUUUUAUAGGGGAAUAAAGGUAUCCACGUGUGGAUAUUUGCAUGUACCCUAUGAAUAAGCAUCUGCUAACUCCGUGCCAGCAGCCGCGGUAAUACGGAGGAUGCGAGCGUUAUCCGGAUUUAUUGGGUUUAAAGGGUGCGUAGGUUGUUUUUUAAGUCAGCGGUGAAAGUUUGUGGCUCAACCAUAAAAUUGCCGUUGAAACUGGAAGACGUGAGUGGGUUUGAGGUAGGCGGAAUGCGUGGUGUAGCGGUGAAAUGCAUAGAUAUCACGCAGAACUCCGAUUGCGAAGGCAGCUUACUAAGCCAUAACUGACACUGAAGCACGAAAGCGUGGGGAUCAAACAGGAUUAGAUACCCCAGUAGUC